UGUCUUUUGCGUACUUCUUGUUUCCUUGGUGGGUUCGCCCACCACUAGGACAAACAUAAACCUUUUGUAAUUGCAAUCAGCGUCAGUAACAAAUUAAUAAUUACAACUUUCAACAACGGAUCUCUUGGUUCUGGCAUCGAUGAAGAACGCAGCGAAAUGCGAUAAGUAGUGUGAAUUGCAGAAUUCAGUGAAUCAUCGAAUCUUUGAACGCACAUUGCGCCCUUUGGUAUUCCAAAGGGCAUGCCUGUUCGAGCGUCAUUUGUACCCUCAAGCUUUGCUUGGUGUUGGGCGUCUUGUCUCUAGCUUUGCUGGAGACUCGCCUUAAAGUAAUUGGCAGCCGGCCUACUGGUUUCGGACCGCAACACAAUUCGCACUCUCUAUCAACAAAGGUCACACAUCCAUUAAGCCUUUUUUUCAACUUUUGACCUCGGAUCAUGUAGGGAUACCCGCUGAA
rnacentral:rRNA from 1 species